rnacentral:rRNA from 1 species
CCGAUGGCGGGGGAUAACUACUGGAAACGGUAGCUAAUACCGCAUAAUGCAAGGACCAAAGCGGGGGACCUCCGGGCCUCGCGCCAUCAGAUGAACCCAUAUGGGAUUAGCUAGUAGGUGAGGUAACGGCUUACCUAGGCGACGAUCCCUAGCUGGCCUGAGAGGAUGAUCAGCCACACUGGGACUGAGACACGGUCCAG